UGAGGAAUAUUGCGCAAUGGGGGAAACCCUGACGCAGCAACGCCGCGUGGGUGAAGAAGGCCUUCGGGUCGUAAAGCCCUUUCGGACGGGACGAAAGUUCCGCGGGGAUAAUCCGCGGAGCCUGACGGUACCGUAGGAAGAAGCACCGGCUAACUCCGUGCCAGCAGCCGCGGUAAUACGGAGGGUGCAAGCGUUGUUCGGAAUUACUGGGCGUAAAGCGCGUGUAGGCGGCCCUGUAAGUCAGAUGUGAAAGCCCUCGGCUCAACCGGGGAAGUGCAUCUGAAACGGCAAGGCUUGAGUACGGGAGAGGGAGGCGGAAUUCCCAGUGUAGAGGUGAAAUUCGUAGAUAUUGGGAGGAACACCGGUGGCGAAAGCGGCCUCCUGGACCGAUACUGACGCUGAGACGCGAAAGCGUGGGGAGCAAACAGGAUUAGAUACCCUGGUAGUCCACGCGGUAAACGAUGGGCACUAGGUGUGGGGGGUAUCCACUCCUCCCGUGCCGCAGCUAACGCAUUAAGUGCCCCGCCUGGGGAGUACGGCCGCAAGGCUA
rnacentral:rRNA from 1 species